UACUGUGUCAGAAAAACUAUUUCAUUAAAGAAUGAAGCAUCUGAAACUUUUCUCAAUUUUCCUAAUUUUCGGACUUUUGUACGUGACUUGUUCUGAGGGACGUGUAAUAAGAUUUCCUGGGGGUUGUCCACCAGUAUGUGCGAAUUAUUGUCCGUUCGGCAGAGUGUACAUCAAUGGAUGUCCCACUUGUACAUGCAAAGGACCUGGAGAUGGUGAUCCGCUAGACUGGAUACGAUAGAACUUUGUAUUUACAGCAAUUAAAGAACAACUUGUUCCUCA